rnacentral:lncRNA from 1 species
ACUUGACAAACACUCCUUACUUUUAUUUAUAAGCAUAAUAACAUAGCAACAUAAUACAAACUUCAUAGCACAAAAAUAAAGAGUACAUAGCUAUAACAUGUUGAUACAAAAUCUCACUCAGACAAUAGAUAACAUUAUUUCAAAUACUACAUAAAUAUGCAUAUCAAUAACACACAAGCUAGGCAUGGAUACAAUAUACUUUAUCAUCAUGGAAGAAGAUCACUUUCAAGCUUAGGAGUGUCACUACUAUUAGGUGUGACUUUUGUGUCAUCCGUACAAAACUUACCAUACACGGGCCAAAAGUAAGGAGAACUCAAACACAUGCUAUACAAAAUCAUACAAUCUACACACUUUCCAAAUUUUUGAGAUUUGUAAAUAUCAUUCUCUUUCUUCGGUUGAUUUGUUCUUCCUACUUCCUCAGCACUAUAACCAUUCAGAAAUAUUAUCACAAGAAGAAGAAAUAGAACAAGUGAAGCAGUGGUAUCUCUCAUAGUGUAUAUAUAAAUGAGUAUUUUCUGUUUUUUCUUAUUGAUAUUGUUUUGUAUGGAAUGAAAUUUGCUUCAAACCAUUCUAAUUUAUAGAGCAGUUGUAGUGCAGGAUUGGGCUGUAUUUAAAUAUAAAUUAUUAAAGUUAAAUGAAUAUAUAAUAUCAAUUAAGGUAGAUGAUACAAAAUGCAUGUGUGCUUAACCAAUGAAAAUUUAGGAGGAUGACUUUUGUGUCA